CCUUAACACAUGCCAAGUCGAAACGGUAGAGGGGCAACCCUUGAAGAAGUGGCGAACGGGUGAGUAAUAUAUCGGAACGUGCCCAGUCGUGGGGGAUAACGUAAAGAAAUUUACGCUAAUACCGCAUACGAUCUAAGGAUGAAAGCGGGGGAUCGCAAGACCUCGCGCGAUUGGAGCGGCUGAUAUCAGAUUAGGUUGUUGGUGAGGUAAAAGCUCACCAAGCCGACGAUCUGUAGCUGGUUUGAGAGAACGACCAGCCACACUGGGACUGAGACACGGCCCAGACUCCUACGGGAGGCAGCAGUGGGGAAUUUUGGACAAUGGGCGCAAGCCUGAUCCAGCAAUGCCGCGUGCAGGAAGAAGGCCUUCGGGUUGUAAACUGCUUUUGUACGGAGCGAAACGGCUCUUUCUAAUAAAGAGGGCUAAUGACGGUACCGUAAGAAUAANCACCGGCUAACUACGUGCCAGCAGCCGCGGUAAUACGUAGGGUGCGAGCGUUAAUCGGAAUUACUGGGCGUAAAGCGUGCGCAGGCGGUUCUAUAAGACAGAUGUGAAAUCCCCGGGCUCAACCUGGGAAUGGCAUUUGUGA
rnacentral:rRNA from 1 species